GGACACGUGGUAUCCUGUCUGAAUAUGGGGGGACCAUCCUCCAAGGCUAAAUACUCCUGACUGACCGAUAGUGAACCAGUACCGUGAGGGAAAGGCGAAAAGAACCCCGGCGAGGGGAGUGAAAAAGAACCUGAAACCGUGUACGUACAAGCAGUGGGAGCACAGAGCAAUCUGUGUGACUGCGUACCUUUUGUAUAAUGGGUCAGCGACUUAUAUUCUGUAGCAAGGUUAACCGAAUAGGGGAGCCGAAGGGAAACCGAGUCUUAACUGGGCGUUAAGUUGCAGGGUAUAGACCCGAAACCCGGUGAUCUAGCCAUGGGCAGGUUGAAGGUUGGGUAACACUAACUGGAGGACCGAACCGACUAAUGUUGAAAAAUUAGCGGAUGACUUGUGGCUGGGGGUGAAAGGCCAAUCAAACCGGGAGAUAGCUGGUUCUCCCCGAAAGCUAUUUAGGUAGCGCCUCGUGAAUUCAUCUCCGGGGGUAGAGCACUGUUUCGGCAAGGGGGUCAUCCCGACUUACCAACCCGAUGCAAACUGCGAAUACCGGAGAAUGUUAUCACGGGAGACACACGGCGGGUGCUAACGUCCGUCGUGAAGAGGGAAACAACCCAGACCGCCAGCUAAGGUCCCAAAGUCAUGGUUAAGUGGGAAACGAUGUGGGAAGGCCCAGACAGCCAGGAUGUUGGCUUAGAAGCAGCCAUCAUUUAAAGAAAGCGUAAUAGCUCACUGGUCGAGUCGGCCUGCGCGGAAGAUGUAACGGGGCUAAACCAUGCACCGAAGCUGCGGCAGCGACGCUGAUGCGUUGUUGGGUA
rnacentral:rRNA from 1 species